rnacentral:miRNA from 15 species
AAUCAGCAAGUACACUGCCCUA